UGGUGGAGUGAUUUGUCUGGUUAAUUCCGUUCACGAACGAGACCUCAACUCACUAAUUAGCUACGCCAAUCUUCGGAGAGGUGGGGCGCUUCUUAGAGGGACUUUGUGCUUCUAGUACAAGGAAGAUUGAGGCAAUAACA
rnacentral:rRNA from 1 species